rnacentral:rRNA from 1 species
AGGGAAUCUUCGGCAAUGGGGGCAACCCUGACCGAGCAACGCCGCGUGAGUGAAGAAGGUUUUCGGAUCGUAAAGCUCUGUUGUAAGUCAAGAACGGGUGUGAGAGUGGAAAGUUCACACUGUGACGGUAGCUUACCAGAAAGGGACGGCUAACUACGUGCCAGCAGCCGCGGUAAUACGUAGGUCCCGAGCGUUGUCCGGAUUUAUUGGGCGUAAAGCGAGCGCAGGCGGUUUGAUAAGUCUGAAGUUAAAGGCUGU